AUUGAACGCUGGCGGCAUGCUUUACACAUGCAAGUCGAACGGCAGCGCGGGCUUCGGCCUGGCGGCGAGUGGCGAACGGGUGAGUAAUGCAUCUGAACGUGCCCAGUAGUGGGGGAUAGCCCGGCGAAAGCCGGAUUAAUACCGCAUACGACCUGAGGGUGAAAGCGGGGACCGAAAGGCCUCGCGCUAUUGGAGCGGCCGAUGUCGGAUUAGCUAGUUGGUGGGGUAAAGGCUUACCAAGGCGACGAUCCGUAGCUGGUCUGAGAAGACGACCAGCCACACUGGGACUGAGACACGGCCCAGACUCCUACGGGAGGCAGCAGUGGGGAAUUUUGGACAAUGGGGGCAACCCUGAUCCAGCCAUGCCGCGUGCGGGAAGAAGGCCUUCGGGUUGUAAACCGCUUUUGUUCGGGAAGAAAUCCUCUGGGCUAAUACCCCGGGGGGAUGACGGUACCGGAAGAAUAAGCACCGGCUAACUACGUG
rnacentral:rRNA from 1 species